rnacentral:rRNA from 1 species
AUUGAACGCUAGCGGGAUGCCUUACACAUGCAAGUCGAACGAGCGGCGGACGGGUGAGUAAUGUCUGGGAAACUGCCUGAUGGAGGGGGAUAACUACUGGAAACGGUAGCUAAUACCGCAUACCAUCAGAUGUGCCCAGAUGGGAUUAGCUAGUAGGUGGGGUAAUGGCUCACCUAGGCGACGAUCCCUAGCUGGUCUGAGAGGAUGACCAGCCAACCGGGAACUGAGACACGGCCCAGACUCCUACGGGAGGCAGCAGUGGGGAAUAGUGCACAAUGGGCGCAAGCCGGAUGCAGCCAUGCCGCGUGUGUGAAGAAGGCCUUCGGGUUGUAAAGCACUUUCAGCGAGGAGGCGUUACUCGCAGAAGAAGCACCGGCUAACUCCGUGCCAGCAGCCGCGGUAAUAC